GACGAACGCUGGCGGCGUGCCUAAUACAUGCAGGUUGAGCGCUGAAGGUUGGUACUUGUACCAACUGGAUGAGCAGCGAACGGGUGAGUAACGCGGGGGGAAUCUGCCUUUGAGCGGGGUACAACAGUUGGAAACGAAUGCUAAUACCGCAUAAAAACUUUAAACACAAGUUUUAAGUUUGAAAGAUGCAAUUGCAUCACUCAAAGAUGAUCCCGCGUUGUAUUAGCUAGUUGGUGAGGUAAAGGCUCACCAAGGCGAUGAUACAUAGCCGACCUGAGAGGGUGAUCGGCCACAUUGGGACUGAGACACGGCCCAAACUCCUACGGGAGGCAGCAGUAGGGAAUCUUCGGCAAUGGACGAAAGUCUGACCGAGCAACGCCGCGUGAGUGAAGAAGGCUUUCGGAUCGUAAAACUCUGUUGGUAGAGAAGAACGUUUGUGAGAGUGGAAAGCUCAUAAAGUGACGGUAACUAACCAGAAAGGGACGGCUAACUACGUG
rnacentral:rRNA from 1 species